AGCAGUGGCUGAUUUUAAUUUCGGGUGGAGAGAAUCAUAACACCCGCGUGCAGUGCACAUUUAGAGCGAAGUUACUUUAUAAAUUGGGGAGAAGUUUUGAUGUGUCUUGCCAGGAAGCUAAUCAUGAAGAUGGAUGCUGAACCAUCAUUGACAGUGGAUCAGUUUAUUCUGCAAGCACUGACCAUAAUCCCCCUACAUUGAGUCUGAGAACUGACAGCAAACAGCUGAUAUGAAGGAAUGUUGUCCACAAAAGGAGUUCUGACAACCACCGCAGCAGCAAUGCCAUGAUACAAAAUCAGAUUUCCCAAGGCAAGGGGGGGAUAUGCUGUAAAGCAUGUGAAGACAGACCAAAUAAGGGGGAUAUGCUGUAAAGCCUGUAAAGACAGACCAAAUAAGGGGGGA